rnacentral:tRNA from 1 species
CUAUGAGAGUACCCACAAGAACUGCUAAUUCUACCCCCCGGAUUUAACCACCCGGCUCUCAUAUUACAUAAUA